rnacentral:rRNA from 1 species
AUGCGAAUCCAGGAGCUUCCCGGCGAUUGCGAUGGCGGAGGCGGGGGCGGAGGGGCGGGGGAGCUGCAGCUGCGUCGGGAAGAUGGCGGGGCCGACGGUAGUGAGCUGAAGCGUGCGGCGGUUGGCGUCGGCGCUCGGAUGCUCUUCUACCCGACGCUGGUGUACAACGUCGUGAGAAACCAAUGCGAGUCUCACUUCCACUGGUGGGAUCAGGUCGACGAGCAUGUGCUGCUGGGUGCUGUUCCAUUCCCGAGCGAUGUUUUGCGGCUGCAGAAGCUUGGAGUUUGUGGUGUGGUCACACUAAACGAAUCAUAUGAGAGGCUUGUUUCCAAGUCACUGUACGAGGCUCAUGGGAUUGAAAACCUGGUGCUGCCAACUAGAGACUACCUUUAUGCGCCGUCAUUUGACAACCUUUGCAAGGCUGCUGACUUCAUCCACAGAAAUGCUUCAUGUGGUAAGCUGACUUAUGUUCACUGCAAAGCUGGACGGGGACGUAGCACCACCGUUGUUCUUUGCUACUUGGUGCAAUACAAACAAAUGACACCUGCUGGAGCUUUUGAACAUGUUCGGUCAUGCAGGCCAAGGGUGUUAUUGGCUUCCGCACAAUGGAAAGCUGUCCAGGAAUUCUACCAGCUUAGAGUGAAGAAAAUUCAGGGCUCCAGUUGCAUCGACAGCCCAAUCGUUAAAAAGGUUCCAUCUCCAUCUCCAGUGUUGCUUGCUACUCGGAACCUCAUCACUUUUGAUGAGAAGACAUUUGUGAUGGUCUCAGAAUCAGACCUUGAAGGGUAUAAUGCGGAUGCCUUGGCAGUUAACGUGGGAAGUGGUUUGUGGGAAAUAAGCUUAGUAUACCGUGUUCAGUUUGCCAGCCAGGCAGCAUUUGCAGGGUUUUCAUACCUGUGGUUACAGUGCCGCGCCCACAAGGACACGGAGGCACUCACUGAGAGCAUCGGUAGUGAGAGCUGCUCGCUGGAGGCGGAGCAGCCUGCAAACGGCCACCACUGUCUACUUCAAGGUGUCGUGGUUAAUCCGUGA